ensembl:lncRNA
GUGCGGACAAUUUCUAAGGCAUCUGCUGGGCUUGCAUCCAUUUAGGUGUAACACAGUUCAGUGCACAGAACAGAAUUUGCCUUCAUCUGCGCUCACAUGAAACAAAUAUUUAUUCCAGAGCUGUAUGGAAGCCAUUGUUGCCUAAAGAGAAAUCAGAAUUAGGUUUGAUGCGCCCAGUCAGGAGCCACAGUGAUCAAGUUAUUUUAGGGGCACGGGUGGAGGAGUGAUGUGUUUGUGUCUCAUGUCACGAAGGUCCCUCUCACUUUUUGUUGGGUCAUCCAUCAUGCCUUGCACAAAUGCAUUUGGAGACAUUAACUCAUCCUUGGUGUGACAUGAAAAACCAUGAUGCUUUUCCAGUAAGAGUUGUGCAUACAGAAAUGAGGUUAAUUCUGGUCUACAUGGGUGCUAGCUCAGUGCAUCCUUGCACGUAGUAGCCAUGGUGUGGAUGGGGGUGUGUGCUAAGGCAGCCAAACUGCUACGUUUUGACAGUUCUGCUGCAUGCAUUAAAAUAACAUCAUCCUGGUUUGUUGUCUCUCCUCUUCCACCCUCUCCCCUCACUCAGCAAAGUCUAAAGGGAACAAGCUCCAAGUAUUAAAAUAGCUCCUGUCUAGCUUGUUCAGCCUAUUUCAGGAGGUUGGUUCCAUCUUGACACAGAUAGAAUACAGAGACAUUGUGGAAACCACAGCCACAAGGGGCCAUCGGCCAAAACUAAAUGAUUUCCCAGCUUAUGCAGAGUAGUUUGUUCUCCCCCUACCCCCUCCCAUCCCCUUUCCUAGCUUAAAAUAACAGUGGGAAGCUGUUUGGCUUUGUUUUGUUGGAUUUUUCUGCUUGCUGCACUUGGUCUGUUGUGAGGGGAUGGAAAGCUAGGAAGGAGCUGUGAGGUGGCAGAGACUUGUUGCCUUCUGGAUUGAGGUGAGACCUCCAGAACCACCAGAAAAAAACAAAACCCCACAUGUAUUUCUGGCAUGUAUUUUCAAGGAGCAAACAAACAAUCAAUGGGUAAAUCGGCACAUGGAUUUAGCAGCUUGGACUAUGGAAUUAGUCUCACAUAUUGUCUUAGAUUGACCCAAAGGGCAGUGGACGUCUAUGAAGAGCAUAGGGCAAAAGUCACACAGGGAUAGCUACUGCCUGAUUAAGUCAGCUACAGGGAAGGACCCAUUUUCUGGUUCCUGUGGUUCUUCUGUUGCUAAGCUAAAACUUAUCCUAUGGAGCUGUACUACUUAACACCCGCUUCCACCUUGGAAGCUUUGGCCCCAGAUAUCCUCAGCUGAAGAUCUAGCUGAGAGGACUAAUUCAAAACCACCAUGAAUAAGACAAAAGUGCUAACUUCCACCAAUAUUCCACUCAUCUGCUUGGAGUGUGCCUACAGGAAGUCAACAUAUUCUGCAUUUUCUUGCCCUCAGGUUCGUAGGUCUCAUUCCAGCUCCUGCUUCUGCCCAGGGUUAUCUGUUUCUUCCUAAAGGCCUAUUUCAUACCUGCAUCAAAACUAGUAGGUUGGUAAAACUUCCAUCUUCCAGUCUAAACUGCACCAGAGUCUGUGAAUAUUGCCAAAUGCAUCUAUGGACGUGAAGGUGACCUUAGCCCUCGAGAAGAAAAAAGAUGAACUCUCAAAUUCUCACUAAAAUACUAUCCUUGUUUUGCCAAGAGGUGUCAAACUGUGGGUGUGCAAAUUACAGUGGGAAGCUGCAAACAUGAAUGGAGCCUUGGGACCAGAUGGCUCGGCACCAGAAGGGUUUGCAAGAAACUAGGCCUCGGGGUGAGCCUUGCUGCUUUGCAAGCGAGCCCCCGGUGCUUGCUCUGAAUGGUAUUCAGUGCCAGAAUUUAAUAUGCAACAAACUUUAUCACUUGAGGACUUGUGCGUCUCAUCAUUGUAAAAAGAAAAUCAGCACUAGCAGCGUGCUGGGGGCACUUUCACCUUUGUUAGCAGAAAUAGUGCACAGAUGCAAUAUCCAAGCUCAAGCAGCAAAAAGACUCAUUUAAGGGUAGUCAAUGCUGUGUAAAUAGGUGAAUU